UGGUAAAUUCGAGCUCUCUGGCAUUCCCCCUGCUCCCAGGGGUGUUCCACAAAUUACAGUGUGCUUCGACAUUGAUGCAAAUGGUAUCUUGAAUGUGUCUGCUGAGGACAAGACCACUGGCCAGAAGAACAAGAUCACCAUUACCAAUGACAAGGGAAGACUCUCGAAGGAGGAGAUCGAGAAGAUGGUUCAAGAGGCAGAAAAGUACAAGUCUGAGGAUGAAGAACACAAAAAGAAGGUUGAGGCUAAGAAUGCAUUGGAAAAUUACUCGUACAAUAUGAGGAACACAGUGAAGGAUGAGAAGAUUGGUGCCAAGCUUUCUCCAGCUGACAAGAAGAAAAUAGAAGAUGCAAUUGAGG
rnacentral:lncRNA from 1 species